rnacentral:sRNA from 1 species
UAUCAACUUCCCUCAUUUUCAUUCGUGUUUUGAAUUCGCUGCGAGCGGACGCGUUUUGUGUUUGAAGGCGAUUGCGCGGCGCGCGUUUUCGCAUCGUACAAACGUUGAAGUGCAACAAAUCGGCGAAGCUGGCCCACAGUGAUCGGCCUUAAAUGCGCUUCUGCUGAAGAAAAUUGGACAACCCUUGCUGCCACAUUGCGAGCCAAAGUUAUUGGUUAACAGUAGAGACUGCCAUUGGAGGACUCGGAGCCCCAACGAAGCCAAAGACUAAUCCCAACAACGAAGCCAAUUAGCAACAAGAGGUGAGUGAGAAAUCAUCAAGAAGGUUCGUUGCCCAAGAGGCAGAUGGCCGAUGGUCGAU